UUGUUGCGGACAAAUAAAAUGAAUAUGUGUAUCAAUGCCGCCGGCAGUAGCGAUCAAAUGCGCUCCAUUAUGUACUUCUGUGGAUGCACCAAUGAUCAUAUUGGGCGUCACAUUAUCCAUCGUAUCCGGAUUUCCCGCCUGUCCAAUACCAACAAUUCGUCCGUCACGAAUGCCAAUAUCGGCUUUAAUAAUACCCAAUUUGGCAUCAAUGAUCAGCACGUUGGUAAUCGCCAAAUCCAACACAUUAGGGUUAUCGCGCGUUGCGGUUGCUGAUUGUGCCAUACCAUCGCG
rnacentral:sRNA from 1 species